UUAAUAUAAAACAUGUUAAAUAUACAAACCUCAUAAAAUUUAGUCAAAUCGUAAACCUGGUUGUGUAUUGCAACCCACAGUGAUUUCGCCGUGUUAUGUUCUUGCAGUUCGGCUAAAGUAACGAUUUUCUUUUCUCCUGACAUUUUGCGAGAGUAGAACCAACCGAUUCGAAGCUAAAUCGCUGUUAAAACGCCACGAUUUUAGAGAUUUUGCAGCAGAUACACAGAUCAGUGGAUAUAAAUAGGAAAAGAAUGAAGUUCGA